GUGUUCCUACGGGACGCAGCAGUGAGGAAUAUUGGUCAAUGGGCGGGAGCCUGAACCAGCCAAGUCGCGUGAAGGAAGAAGGUACUUAGUAUUGUAAACUUCUUUUGUCGGGGAACAAAGGCGCCCACGGGUGGGCGGAUGAGUGUACCCGAAGAAAAAGCAUCGGCUAACUCCGUGCCAGCAGCCGCGGUAAUACGGAGGAUGCGAGCGUUAUCCGGAUUUAUUGGGUUUAAAGGGUGCGUAGGCGGACAGUCAAGUCAGCGGUAAAAAUGCGGUGCUCAACGCCGUACAGCCGUUGAAACUGG
rnacentral:rRNA from 1 species